CCAGGCGUCGAGUGGUUCAAUGUGCUCAAAGACCAUUGGCAACAGCAUAAUCUCCCAAAGUGGCCCCAUUUGCACGCCCUCUUCUGACGCUGCAGGUGCUUCAGCAGCCAGCCAGGACCGCGGCUGCUUGCCCUCGGUUGGCUUCCGUCCCACAGCCAACUUCAGUGAUCAAGGUGGAGGCGGCUCGAAGCUGGUCGUGAACGGCAUGCAGCAGCGUGUUUCCACCAUAAGGUGAAGAGAAGUGGGCACGACACCAUUCCCAGGCGCGCACUGCCUGUGGCAACUCAUCCUUGGCUUUUGAAACUAUGGAUAUGCAAUGGACAUGUAGCUUUGAGUUCCUCAGAAUAACCAAACGUGAAGAAUAUGCAAAGUUCCUCAGAAUCAACAAUUAUCUGCUAACAAUCAUGGUAAAAAAACAUUAAGAUGCCAUUAGUAAUACAGGAAUUUAGCUGCUAACAAUUAUCUCUAGAGGGUCUAAACAAACGAUAAAUUCAACUAUCAAAGCUCACAUUCUCAACGUUAUAAUCAAAUACCUUUGUCUUACUUCACUUUUAGAGACCCGUAGCAUAAAAAAUGCCAUACAAAGCGAGUUAUC
rnacentral:lncRNA from 1 species